rnacentral:lncRNA from 1 species
ACGAGGCGAGAAGGAGGCGUAGGCGGAGCCAGCAGCGCCCCCCUCCCUACACCCUCGGCCGUUCAUAAAUUGCCCCUAGGGAGCGUGACCGCCCUGCCUGCGCGAACAGGACGGGUAAACGGCGUGCUGCAGCAGGGACUGCAUCUCUGUGGACACUCCAGAAGACGCCUGUCCAGCACCACAAAAAUCCCUCACACCUGCAGAAGUGCGGAGGCCAAGUUGGUAGCAGGCAGAGAUGACAUUUCAGCUCAAGAGAGGUCAUUUCAGGUCAAGAGAGGUCCAGCUGGAGAGGUCUUCGCAGACAGUGCAGGUUGCAAUGUUAAUAUUCUUAAAUGUAUCCUGAAGACAGUUUACUCAAUGUGAGCAACAACAAGAGAAAAAAUGUCAAGGAAGAAGAGGAGAGGCAGAAUAGACUUUCAGCAUGUAACAGUUAGAAGCCAACGGCUGUUAGAAUCUCUGAAGAGAAAAGUUUCAGUAUUAAAAGAAAUGCUUGCAGCCAUUUCUCCCACUCAUGAGUAAUUACUCAUACGCAUUGAGUAAUAAUUGCAAUUGAAAACAUAUGAGUGAUUUCAGCACUCAGUAUUAUGAUCAUGGAUCAUAAUCUGGAUUUUAAUGGACAAAAUAAAAAAUAAAAUGCUGUGG